rnacentral:misc_RNA from 1 species
UAAUAAUGCUCACUGGAAGUGAUAAACUCGAUAACCUUUAUGAAGAAAAAUCUCAUCAUCUCAACAACCAGUAAGUGCACCAGUAUACAGGAUUGAGCAUGUCUAAGUUGUAGGGGUGAAGAAGAAGAGCGGUAGCUAUUUUUACAUUUUCUAUGAUCCGUUCUCUUUAGCAGGAAGGUAGAGGUGGCACUUUGUGAAGACAAACUGAGAUGGUUUGGGCAAAUCUAACAUAGACCAGUAGGUGCAUUGGUGUAGAAGGUUAAGCAUAUCGAUGACUUGUUUCAAAGAGAUGAUGUUCAAAGAGUUGAUGAAUGGUUAAGUAGAGCAUUAUAACUUUCUAAAAAUGUAGCUCUCAAUCAAGUCUAAUGGAGUAAAAAAAAUCCAUAUAAAGAAAACCAACUAGAUUAAAUUGAAGCUUAG